rnacentral:rRNA from 1 species
UACGUAGGGGGCAAGCGUUGUCCGGAUUUACUGGGCGUAAAGCGCGCGUAGGCGGAAAGUUAAGCGGGGCCUGAAAGCCCCCGGCUCAACCGGGGAGGGUGGCAUCGAACUGGCUUUCUUGAGGGCGAUAGAGGAGCGUGGAAUUCCUGGUGUAGCGGUGAAAUGCGCAGAUAUCAGGAGGAACACCGAUGGCGAAGGCAGGUCUCUGGGCAUUAACUGACGCUGAGGAGCGAAAGCAUGGGGAGCGAACAGG